CACGACUCCAGCUUCUCCGAUGCUGACAGAUUUUUGCACCAACAGGAUUAGCGCUAGAGGAAGGGGCUGCUGUCUUCGCAGUACCUUUGUUCUUAAAGGAGCGCUCAACGGGAUAGCCUCCGGUCAUCUUCUCCGACAUCCUCUUCUUCUUUUUCUAUUGGAUCUUCACCCGAUGCCUCCCCGCAAAGCAUCCAUCCGGCGAUCCACGGCCUCCAC
rnacentral:lncRNA from 1 species